CCUACGGGUGGCAGCAGUGAGGAAUAUUGGUCAAUGGACGAGAGUCUGAACCAGCCAAGUAGCGUGAAGGAUGACGGCCCUAUGGGUUGUAAACUUCUUUUAUAUGGGAAUAAAACGUUCCACGUGUGGGAUUUUGUAUGUACCAUAUGAAUAAGGAUCGGCGAACUCCGUGCCAGCAGCCGCGGUAAUACGGAGGAUCCGAGCGUUAUCCGGAUUUAUUGGGUUUAAAGGGAGCGUAGGUGGAUUGUUAAGUCAGAUGUGAAAGUUUGCGGCUCAACCGUAAAAUUGCAGUUGAAACUGGCAGUCUUGAGUACAGUAGAGGUAGGCGGAAUUCGUGGUGUAGCGGUGAAAUGCUGAGAUAUCACGAAGAACUCCGAUUGCGAAGGCAGUUCACUGGACUGCAACUGACACUGAGGCUCGAAAGUGUGGGUAUCAAACAGGAUUAGAUACCCCAGUAGUC
rnacentral:rRNA from 1 species